UGGCUCAGUGGUAGAGUGCUUGCCUUGCAUGCAUGAGGUCUUGGGUUCGAUUCCUCA
rnacentral:tRNA from 1 species